UACGUAGGGGGCGAGCGUUGUCCGGAUUUAUUGGGCGUAAAGAGCGUGUAGGCGGCUUGGUAGGUCUGCUGUGAAAACUCGGGGCUCAACCCCGAGACGUCGGUGGAAACCACCUGGCUAGAGUCCGGAAGAGGAGAGUGGAAUUCCUGGUGUAGCGGUGAAAUGCGCAGAUAUCAGGAAGAAUAGCCGUGGCGAAGGCGGCUCUCUGGGACGGCACUGACGCUGAGACGCGAAAGCGUGGGGAGCGAACAGG
rnacentral:rRNA from 1 species